GCCUGGUUAGCUUAGUUGGUAGUGCGUCUGCCUUGUAAGCGCUAGGCCGCGGGUUCGAUUCCCGCCCGAGGCG
rfam:Asian citrus Psyllid, Diaphorina citri - Florida Strain, whole genome shotgun sequence.